rnacentral:rRNA from 1 species
AGUGAACGCUGGCGGUAGGCCUAACACAUGCAAGUCGAGCGGCCGCACAGUAAGAGCUUGCUCUUACGGGUGGCGAGUGGCGGACGGGUGAGGAAUACAUCGGAAUCUACUUUUUCGUGGGGGAUAUCGUAGGGCCACUUCCGCUAAUACCGCAUACGACCUACGGGUGAAAGCAGGGGAUCUUGGGACCUUGCCCGUUUGAAUGAGCCGACGUCGGAUUAGCUAGUUGGCGGGGUAAAGGCCCACCAAGGCGACGAUGCGUAGCCGGUCUGAGAGGGUGAUCGGCCACACUGGAACUGAGACACGGUCCAGACUCCUACGGGAGGCAGCAGUAGGGAAUCUUGCACAAUGGGCGCAAGCCUGACGGAGCCACGCCGCGUGAGUGAUGAAGGUCUUCGGAUCGUAAAGCUCUGUUAUUAGGGAAGAAAAUAUGUGUAAGUAACUGUGCACGUCUUGACGGUACCUAAUCAGAAAGCCACGGCUAACUACGUG